ACGAACGCUGGCGGCUGCUUAACACAUGCAAGUCGCACGGAGUGGCGAACGGGUGAGUAACGCGUGAGCAACCUGCCUAUGACAGUGGGAUAGCCUCGGGAAACCGGGAUUAAUACCGCAUAGUCAUAGUUGGGCUCGCGUCUGAUUAGCUAGUUGGAGAGAUAACAGCCAACCAAGGCGACGAUCAGUAGCCGGUAUGAGAGGAAGGACGGCCACGUUGGAACUGAGAAACAGGCCAAACUCCUACGGGAGGUAGCAGUGGUGAAUAUAGCAAAAUGGGGGAAACCCUGAUGCAUCGACGCCGCGUGAACGAAGAAAGUAUUCGUAUCGUAAAGUUCUUUCCUAUGGGAAUCAGUACCAUAGAAGAAAGCUCCGGCUAAAUACGUGCCAGCAGCCGCGGUAAUAC
rnacentral:rRNA from 1 species